AGAAGGGUCCCUCCCCUCGCCUUUAUUUCAUUCCAUACCAAAAAGAUGGAAUAAGGAAAUUAAGGGUUUUAAGUGCUAUAUCCUGAAGUUUAGGGGGUGUCAGUCACCAGCGCGCAGUUGUCCUGGUGGUGCCGGUUGUUUCAAGUUCCUCGAGUUGGAUUGUACAGCCUGCGUCAGCCUGGGUGGUUGUUUGUGUUUAACUAACUCUGAGGCCUUCAAGAGGCACGUGGUUAGAAACCCGGCAAAAUAUCUGUGAUUCACAACGGGAAGACAUCGUUAAUCCACAACCCAGAUAGUGGGACAAACUAAGAGCUGACUAUGUAUGUCUUGAGCAAUAAAGUAACCAAAACAGGAUGUACAACUAGUGUGACGACUUCCUCAGUUCUCUCUAAGUACGAGUAGGACAACUUUUUCCUUGCCAUCAAAUGCCCUUUAAACUAGGAAACUCAAAGCAUAUCUCAUUGGAGUAAUUUCAAUUACAUCAAUUUAUUUGGUGUUAAUUCUGUGUGAGAACUCUAAUUCAGGCAUGAAGCUGUGUUUGUCACUGUUUGUGGGCACAGAGAAGAGCUUCUCCCUGGGUACCUUCCUGUCUGGUGAAGCCUUGUCAAUGAUUUUCUUGUUGCUGCUGAAGAGCUAAUUGUUAGUGAUGUAGUGGACAAUACAUUUCCCAGGUGGCUUGUAUAUUUAAUUACUGUGUUCACUUACUUAGUAUUAGCUUUGCAAAUUAUUUUAAAUGUUAAACUUAUGCCCUUCACCAUGUUCCAUUUGCUUUUUCCUAUUGUGAUGGCACAUAGCAGUCAAAAGCUGAAAGUAUUCGUGGUUCUCUGUGCAUAGAACGGUUAUCAGAUGAUUCCUCCUGAGUGAUAGGAAUACUAUCAAUGAAAUUCAAGCAGUUAGAGACCUUCCAUUAUGUAGGUGUAAGAUCACUUUUUCUGUCACACCUUCUGAUCUACAAAGAAAAGAGAGAGAUAAUUCAGAAGUAGGUCUGGAUCGUACGAUAUAGAUUGAGUAACCAGGCUAAGCCAAUGCUAAAAAUCUGCUUAGCUGCACCUAACUGCUAACUGCCCCCACUUUCCUGGGCGUUCAUCAGCAUUCGUAUAGAUAUGCAGUGAUUUGUGUAAGGGAGCUAAUCUGAUCAGAACUAACUAUUUUUUAAAUACAGUCAUUUGUUUUUGGUAAAUUAAUUUUAAUUCAGGUGACUUUGUGAUCUAGUUCACUGUGCAGAUUGCAUAAACGUUCAUGCUGAGCCAACGGAAUACACAGAGCAGGUUCACUUUCAAUUACAGUAAUAGUUUAUGAGCAUGGCCAUGCAGUGUUAAUAUGACGCUCUCUAAUUUUUGAGCUGCUAGAUAAAAUUAAGAAAACACUUUUAAAACCUAUUUCAGCAUGAAGAUAAACUUUUUCAGCCUUAGAUAAUGAGAAGAUUGUUUUGCCCAAGAUCAAAGUGCUUUCUUUCCCUCCAAAUUGGUUCACCGAACAAGGUAAACACGUGCUGAUACUCAUUCUUAGGAUUCUGAACAUGCACAAGAAGAUUAUUAUAAUGAUAGAAUUAGGAAGAAAUUAACCAUGGCACAUAUUUCUAAAUUAUGGCCAAAGCUCCUUUUGAUAGUCCAUCAUUUGAAUCACUGUACGUGCCUGUUACAGCAGUUAAACUCAUGUGCAUACAUAUACAUUUAGAAGAUUUCUACUGAGUUGAAUAGAAUAACUUAUGCAUAAAGUUAACUCAUUCACGUUGCUCAACAGUGCCGUUGUUAAGAGACUAAUUUUUAAAGUGACACUUACUUAAUGGAAAGAGAAUUCAGUUAAUUAUUUUCAAAAACCAACAGUGUUAGAAAUGCUUCUUUAAAAAAAAAAAUUAGUUUGUAUUACUGCUUAGUGAGAACUUCCAAAAAAUUAGCUUCUAAAACUUGUAGAGUGUACAGAAAUCACUCAAACUUUUUUUAAUUUUUCUGAGUCGCCUUUGAAAUAUGCAUCUAUAAUCUGUAUGCUGGUAAUGUUGUUUUUAAAUAAUCCUCCUGAUUUUUGAAAUGUUGUUCACAAUAUAUUUCCAAAUGUAUCCAUCCAUACCCCUUUCAUGUUAUGUGGGGACUGUGUAUUGUAUUAACAGUAUUGUAUGUAUGAUCUGUAUCCACUGGAUAAAUUAUUUUUAAAGGAAUUGUGUGUGUGUGAGUUUUUUAA